rnacentral:rRNA from 1 species
GACGGGGGAUGCAAGUGUUAUCCGGAUUCACUGGGUUUAAAGGGUGCGUAGGUGGGUUGGUAAGUCAGUGGUGAAAUCCCCGAGCUUAACUUGGGAACUGCCAUUGAUACUAUCAGUCUUGAAUACUGUGGAGGUUAGCGGAAUAUGUCAUGUAGCGGUGAAAUGCUUAGAUAUGACAUAGAACACCAAUUGCGAAGGCAGCUGGCUACACAAAUAUUGACACUGAGGCACGAAAGCGUGGGGAUCAAACAGG